rnacentral:rRNA from 1 species
CCUACGGGUGGCAGCAGUGGGGAAUAUUGGACAAUGGGGGGAACCCUGAUCCAGCCAUGCCGCGUGUGUGAAGAAGGCCCUCGGGUUGUAAAGCACUUUCAGUGAGGAAGAACGCCUGGUGGUUAAUACCCAUCAGGAAAGACAUCACUCACAGAAGAAGCACCGGCUAACUCCGUGCCAGCAGCCGCGGUAAUACGGAGGGUGCGAGCGAUAAUCGGAAUUACUGGGCGUAAAGCGCGCGUAGGUGGCUUGAUAAGCCGGUUGUGAAAGCCCCGGGCUCAACCUGGGAACGGCAUCCGGAACUGUCAAGCUAGAGUGCAGGAGAGGAAGGUAGAAUUCCCGGUGUAGCGGUGAAAUGCGUAGAGAUCGGGAGGAAUACCAGUGGCGAAGGCGGCCUUCUGGACUGACACUGACACUGAGGUGCGAAAGCGUGGGUAGCAAACAGGAUUAGAUACCCUAGUAGUC